AAAAGCCUACCUCUUUCCACCCCUCUUUCAUAAAAUUUAUUCCUAUGUAAACAAACCGACGUACUGAACGACUCGUCGUCCCCUCUCCUCUUAAUCCUAUUCACCGUCUGUUUCUCCUCAUCUAUUCUACUCUAUUCUUUUAUCCGCUUCUGUCAAGUGAGUCGCGGCCUGCUUCCAAACAUUUCUAUCCAACAACAAUUCCCAUUUUUUUCACUAAGACGGCUAACAACAAAUUUAUUCCAAACCUAGCUAAACUUUACUACUCCAUCCAAACACUCGUUCUCUUCCCCCUUUUCCGCCUUUAAAAAACUCAAAACUCUUUAAGAAUACAAAAGAAAAGCUAAAUUGUAAAAAUCU